rnacentral:tRNA from 1 species
CAAGGCAUAGCAUCUGGAAUGCAUUUCACCUACACUGAACUAUAUAGUUGUUCGACUCAACUUGCCAUGA